CCUCCGUGCUUUACACCUUCCGUCGCCUUCAGUCUGCCUCUGCUCUUGGAGGAUACGCAGUGAACUCUCCGCAGCGCAGGUAGCGAAUCCUCAGCGCUCUCGCUCAUGUGAGUCAUGCGGCUUCUCAUUGGCCAGUUCAGAUCAAGUGGGCGGGGCAGAGGGAAUUCCCCCCCCGCUGGUAUCUUCUAACAAAUAUUACUUUUCUGUCCACUGUCACUCAUUGAGCUCGGGGUUCUCCAAGAGACAAUAACCUGUGGUACGGCUGAGAGAAAGCGAGUGAGUGCGCCUUCAUCAUGGAUCUUAUGCCCUCCAUGCUAGGGGACAAUUCACACCUAAUGCCUGAACCAGAGAUCCAGAUCUUCGAGCAGCCCAAGCAGAGGGGAAUGCGCUUCAGGUACAAGUGUGAGGGUCGCUCGGCCGGAAGCAUCCCCGGCGAGAAGAGCUCCGACAACAACAGGACCUACCCCAGUCUGCAGAUCCUUAAUUACUGCGGUAAAGGG